AAAAGUACCAAAGGCAAAGACCGCAAGGUCCGAGCCGGUAAAAACACAGAAUGCUCUAUAAUACGGGCAAAGUAUGUGUGGAACUAUUUGUUGAAACACUUUUUUUUAUGCUUCGGUUGCACCUUCCGCUUAACGGCGGAGGUGGUAAGUCAGCCAGAGGCAACUUUUAAACUAGUUGAUGAAAUGUCAUGCUGUCUGAUACUGUUUAGUAUUUGAGAAAUCGAAUAUAUAUUA
rnacentral:misc_RNA from 1 species